rnacentral:tRNA from 1 species
CCUCCUUUUUAAAGAGAACCUAUGGCUCUUUUUUGAUUCGAGCCCCUUCACAAGUUACCUAAAAUUUAUUGCAGAGCAAGUUAGCUUAUCAAUAUUUGGGUCUGUAGCUCAGCUGGUUAGAGCGCACCCCUGAUAAGGGUGAGGUCGGAAGUUCAAGUCCUCCCAGACCCACCAGUUUAGAUUGUUUUAUAAACAAUAUAAUAAUGAUAAGAUUUUCUCGUAUUAAUUUAUGGGGCCAUAGCUCAGCUGGGAGAGCGCCUGCUUUGCAAGCAGGAGGUCGGCGGUUCGAUCCCGCCUGGCUCCACCAAAGAGUUAUUUAGAGGUUAAAAUUUUUUUAUAACGUCUAAAUCACUUUGUGAUUUAUGUGAUCUUUAACAAUUAGAAUUUAGUUUAACGUUUAAACUCGAAAGAGUUUAAGCACUGUAUAUUCAUAGAGAAUAUAAAAUUCAUGAGUUCAUCUAACAAGAUGAAUAAGUUAACUCA